CCCAAAGUAUAGGAAAAGGAUUCAAACGAUGCCACAAAGGCACAAAUGAGACCAACCGCGGAAGCCGAGCGGAUCCCAGUCGUGUCGUCUCAAAGCCUCAGAAAUGAGGAAGCAGAAAAUGAGUCCUGACACAGCGUUGCAAUCAUUCUGUGUUGUCUUCCCUCAUGGCAUUUCGAACACCCGCCGUCUUAAAAAGAAACGAAAAAGCAAGGAAAAGGAAAAUCUGAUUUCUCAAAGUUCAUUUUGAAACAUGAGAAUAACUAGUAAAGGCCGUGGCCAUCCAGUCAAACACCCAGAUGUGCUAAGAGGUGGCGCUGUGCUGGUCACGACGGAGGGGCUGUGGAUUGAUGUCCUUACUCCAUGGUGCCCUGAACUGCCCUCAAGGAAUAUACAGGCGAUUUACUGCAAGGAAUCUGAAAAGUCACCAGCCGUCAGGAAAGAAGUGACAGACGCCAGUCGAGUGAGUCUGGUCGGGGCUGUGCGGUUUCAGAGGCACUGAGGUUGGUCUGGGGCCAUCGGAGAAGAAGACUCCACCGAAGGGGCCGCGCCCGCUUCUGUUGACCUCGGGGAGCCCCCGGAGGGUUUUGAGCAGGGCAGCGGCGGGAUCAAAGUGGUGCUUUUGGAAGAUGAUGCUGGCUUUGAGGUUGAGUCUGAAGGAGAACCGCCACCAAAAAAGGCUUUGCGAUGGUGGGGGAGCCGUGAGCACACGGUGUCAGGAUGAGGCUGCCAAGCAGGCUGGCUAAACUUGCUGUGCUGCUGCGGGCCCCUUGUCCUUGCCCUAUAUGGCUACGGACUGCCACUGGGCACGGGCCUCCUUUGUUUCUAGCCUGCCCUCUCUCUCGCUCCCAGGAGCGUCUUCCCUUCCACGCCAGCUCUCCCAGUGCCAGUUCUGUGUCCGCCCCACCCCCUACAGGAUAUUGAUCUCACCCAGAUUUUAUGAUGUCUCAUAAACCUCUUGGGUUUUUUCAUCUGUCUGACUCACCCCAAUCACGCUAUAUUCUCCUAGCACAAUUAGACAUCUCCUUUCCCCUGUGCUUUAUAAAUUACUUACCACUGCAUUCAGGCGUCCGUCUUGAAAUAUAAAGUGCACUGGAAAAACAAAUGACAGCCGGGGGUGGAGUGCCCAUCAUCUAACCGUCUCCUUGUGAUUGCACUCACCUUUGACUGAUCCCUUUACCUCCUUAUCGCUCAAAGCCAGAGGUCACCGAGACCGAAAUUCCCCUCCGGGAGAAACCGAAAUGGGGAGGGGGAAAAGCCUUUACUUUCAUCUCCUGAGGCUAUGAAAUUUGCCAGAUACGAGACUUAAGGAGGCUGGAUUUUUUUCUGUAGGGACUGAUGAUUCUUGGGUGGUGGUGGUGAUGGGGACAGUGGAGGACGACGUGAUUAAAGCGAGCAAGAAAAGAGAGGUCCAGGGGAGACACCCUCUAGGGCAGUGACACUUUGCUUCAUGUGUAAAACACGAGUAAGGCAUGUGAAACCAAUGAACUGAAUCAAAGAAC
rnacentral:lncRNA from 1 species